GGUGGUAUAGUAUAGUGGCUAGUACAACACGUUGUGGUCGUAAGAACACAAGUGUUCCGUGUAGACCUGGGUUCGAUUCCCAGUACCGCCA